ACCAGCCCAACUACCCCUCCCCACCUACCUCACCAGCCAACUACCCCCUCCUCACCUACCACAGCCCAAUAUCCCCCUCACCAGCCCAACUACCCCCUCCUCACCACCUCACCAAGCCCAACUACCACCCCCCCCUCACUACCCUACCGAUUCCCUCCUCACCAGCCCAACUACCAACCACCCCCUCCUCACCUACCCUACCAGCCCAACGAUUCCCCUCACCAGCCCAACUACCCCUCCUCACCAUACCCACCAGCCCACACUACCCCCUCCUCACCUACCCUACCAGCCAACUAUUCCCGUCCCCUCACCAUCAGCCCACACCCAACUACCCCCUCCUCACCUACCUCACCAGCCCAACUACUCCUCCUCACCUACCUCACCAGCCCAACUACCCCCUCCUCACCUACCUCACCAGCCCAACUACCCCUCCUCACCUACCUCACCAGCCCCAACAACCCCCCCCCUCACCUACCACCUCACGCAGCCCAACUACCCCCCCCUCACCAGCCCAACUUCCCCCUCCUCACCUACCCUACCAGCCCAACUACCCCCUCCUCACCAGCCCAACUUAACCCCUCCUAGCCUACCUCACCAGCCCAACUAACCCUGUCCUAGCCUACCUCACCAGCCCAACUAACCCUGUCCUAGCCUACCCUUGCAGCCCCACCUUACCCUAUUCUCCCGGUGCCAUGACCCCACUCUCCCCUCAUUGUGCUUCUGUUUUUCGGUGACAGCUGUGCAGAGCGGACCAGAAGAAGUAGUUAAAAGUGCAUAAUGAUUGCAUAAUGUCUAUUGUACAUUUGAUUUAAUCAGUUAUUUAUUUUUUUUGUUUAAAAAAAUAUAUAUAUUAAAAGCAGAGAAAAAAAAUCUAUACACAUUGUUCCUGUGUCUGUGUUGCAAUGAUUUGAACACAUCUGGCGGAUUUGGAUGUGAGUGGAAUUUAUUUGAUCAAUUUGAUUUAUAUCUAAUCUCCGUAAAUACACACAAGUUCAAAUCACAGGAUGUAUAUUUCUG
rnacentral:lncRNA from 1 species